rnacentral:rRNA from 1 species
GAUGAACGCUGGCGGCGUGCCUAAUACAUGCAAGUCGAGCGAACAGACGAGGAGCUUGCUCCUCUGACGUUAGCGGCGGACGGGUGAGUAACACGUGGAUAACCUACCUAUAAGACUGGGAUAACUUCGGGAAACCGGAGCUAAUACCGGAUAAUAUAUUGAACCGCAUGGUUCAAUGGUGAAAGACGGUUUUGCUGUCACUACUAGAUGGAUCCCCGCCGCAUUAGCUAGUUGGUAAGGUAACGGCUUACCAAGGCGACGAUGCGUAGCCGACCUGAGAGGGUGAUCGGCCACACUGGAACUGAGACGCGGUCCAGACUCCUACGGGAGGCAGCAGUAGGGAAUCUUCCGCAAUGGGCGAAAGCCUGACGGAGCAACGCCGCGUGAGUGAUGAAGGUCUUCGGAUCGUAAAACUCUGUUAUUAGGUAAGAACAAAUGUGUAAGUAACUAUGCACGUCUUGACGGUACCUAAUCAGAAAGCCACGGCUAACUACGUG